rnacentral:rRNA from 1 species
UACGUAGGCAGCGAGCGUUGUUCGGAGUUACUGGGCGUAAAGGGUGCGUAGGCGGUUUUCCAAGUUUGGUGUGAAAUCUCCCGGCUCAACUGGGAGGGUGCGCCGAAAACUAGGGAACUGGAGUACCGGAGAGGUAAGCGGAAUUCCUGGUGUAGCGGUGAAAUGCGUAGAGAUCAGGAGGAACACCUGUGGUGUAGACAGCUUACUGGACGGUCACUGACGCUGAGGCACGAAAGCGUGGGUAGCAAACAGG